rnacentral:rRNA from 1 species
UCCCCUAGUAACUGCGAGUGAAGCGGGAAAAGCUCAAAUUUAAAAUCUGGCGGUUUUGGCCGUCCGAGUUGUAGUCUGGAGAAGUGCUUUCCGCGCCGGACCGUGUACAAGUCUCCUGGAACGGAGCGUCAUAGAGGGUGAGAAUCCCGUCUUUGACACGGACUACCGGUGCUUUGUGAUGCGCUCUCAAAGAGUCGAGUUGUUUGGGAAUGCAGCUCAAAAUGGGUGGUGAAUUCCAUCUAAAGCUAAAUAUUGGCGAGAGACCGAUAGCGAACAAGUACCGUGAGGGAAAGAUGAAAAGCACUUUGGAAAGAGAGUUAAACAGUACGUGAAAUUGCUGAAAGGGAAACGCUUGAAGUCAGUCGCGUCGUCCGGAACUCAGCCUUGCCUUGGCUUGGUGCACUUUCCGGUUGACGGGCCAGCAUCGAUUUUGACCGG